GGGCUGUAGAAUCUAUAAUGCAUUAAUUGCGCGCCUGCUUCACACGCAGGAGGGCCACGGUUCGAGUCCGUGCGCGCCCACCA
rnacentral:tRNA from 1 species